rnacentral:rRNA from 1 species
UGGGGAAUCUUCCGCAAUGGGCGAAAGCCUGACGGAGCAAUACCGCGUGAGGGAGGAAUGCCUUUGGGUUGUAAACCUCUUUUCUCAGGGAAGAAGAUCUGACGGUACCUGAGGAAUAAGUAUCGGCUAACUCCGUGCCAGCAGCCGCGGUAAUACGGAGGAUGCAAGCGUUAUCCGGAAUCAUUGGGCGUAAAGCGUCCGCAGGUGGUUUCCAAAGUCUGCUGUUAAAGACUGGAGCUCAACUCCGGAACGGCGGUGGAAACUUGGAAACUAGAGUUCGGUAGGGGUAGCAGGAAUUCCCAGUGUAGCGGUGAAAUGCGUAGAUAUUGGGAAGAACAUCGGUGGCGAAGGCGUGCUACUGGACCGUAACUGACACUCAGGGACGAAAGCUAGGGGAGCGAAAGGGAUUAGAUACCCCUGUNNNNCUAGCUGUAAACGAUGGAAACUAGGUGUGGCUU